rnacentral:rRNA from 1 species
GGAAUAUUGGUCAAUAGGCGGAAGCCUGAACCAGCAAUGCCGCGUGCAGGAUGACUGACCUAUGGGUUGUAAACUGCUUUUGUCCAGGAAUAAACCUCUUUACGAGUAGAGAGCUGCAUGUACUGGAAGAAUAAGGAGCGGCUAACCCCGUGCCAGCAGCCGCGGUAAUACGGAGGAUCCGAGCGUUAUCCGGAUUUAUUGGGUUUAAAGGGUGCGUAGGCGGCCUAUUAAGUCAGGGGUGAAAUACGGUGGCACAACCAUCGCAGUGCCUUUGAUACUGAUGGGCUUGAAUCCAUUUGAAGUGGGCGGAAUAAGACAAGUAGCGGUGAAAUGCAUAGAUAUGUCUUAGAACUCCGAUUGCGAAGGCAGCUCACUAAGCUGGUAUUGACGCUGAUGCACGAAAGCGUGGGGAUCG